CUCUUUGCACAGUGGCCCUAUCAUAAUCAAUGAGGUUCACCUGAGGCCCGAUUAUUGCUAAUUGAAAACUUCCAAUGCCACAAGAUAACUUGCAAUAGAGCUGGCACUGACCGUUUCCUUUUUUUUUUUUUUUUUUUUUUUUUUGAGA
rnacentral:snRNA from 1 species